AAUGAACGCUGGCGGCGUGCCUAACACAUGCAAGUCGAGCGAACAGACCAGGAGCUUGGUCCUCUGAGGGUAGCGCGGGACGGGAGAGUAACACGUGGAUAGCAUACUUCUAAGACUGGGGGGAUAUCGGGAAAUAGGAGCUAUUACCGGAUAAUAUGUCGAACAGGAUGUAUCAAGAGUGAAAGACGGUCUUUGGGUCGGUAAUAGCUGAAUACGCGGCUCAUCAGUUAGUGGGUAAGGUAACGGCUUAGCAACGCUACGAGGCGUAGCCGACCUGAACGGGUGAUCAGCCAGACGGUAACUGAGACACGGUCGAGACUCCGACGGGAGGCAGCAGUAGGGAAUCUUCCGCGAUGGGCGAGAGCCUGACGGAGCAACACCGCGUGAGUGAAGAAGGUCUUCGGAUCGUAGAGCUCUGUUGUUAGGAAAGAAGAAAAGUGUAUGUAGCUAUGCACGUAAUGACGGUACCAAAACAAGAAGCCACGGCUAACUCCGUG
rnacentral:rRNA from 1 species